rnacentral:tRNA from 1 species
UAAGCUACAAGGAAUUAGGUAUAGUUCCCUUUAUAUUUAAUAAAUAUAAUGUAAAAAGAGGAUGAA